rnacentral:miRNA from 1 species
UGUGCCAAAGACACACAUGCAGUUCUGGGUUUUGUUUUGUUUUGUUUUUUAAAUAUGGAAGGAAAGGAGGAAGGAAGGAAGGGAGGGAGGGAGGGAGGGAGGGAGGGAGGGAGGGAGGAAGGAAGGAAAGAAAGAAAGAAAGAAGAAAAGAACACAGCAUAGUCAGAAAUUCUUUGGAUUUUAGGGUGAC